rnacentral:lncRNA from 1 species
GUUAACACAGACUGCACAGUCACAAACCAACAGAAACAUGACACUUGAGAAAUUCAGGUGCAGCUAUUGGUGAUGGGAGGUGGAUGGAGGAGCAGUGAAAACGAAUGCAAAGGAGGAUGAUUUUUUCACUAGAUGUGGCUUUUCCUUAAUACAAUUUUAUUCAACUUUUAAAUGAAGAAACUGGAGAUGAACAACAGUAACAAAUAACCCCAAGUCUCCAUUAUUCAUUCCAGGAAUUAAAUCUA